GGCAGCCGCCAUGGCGGCCGAGCGGGCUCCGCCGGCCCGGGCCCAACCUCCGCCCCCCGGCCCCGCUCCCGGCCCCGCUCCGGGCCCCGCUCCGGGCCCCGAGCCCGCGGCACGAACCGGCCUCAGCCUGCCGGGCAUCCUGCACUUCAUCCAGCACGAGUGGGCGCGGUUCGAGGCGGAGAAAGGGCGCUGGGAAGCGGAGAGGGCCGAGCUGCAGGCGCAGGUGGCGUUCCUGCAGGGCGAGCGCCAGGGCCAGGAGAGCCUCAAGCUGGACCUGGUGCGGCGCAUCCGGAUGUUGGAGUUCGCCCUCAAGCAGGAGAGGUCCAAGUACCACAAACUGAAAUUCGGGACGGAGGCGGCGCCGGGGGAGAAGCGCCCGGAGGAGCCGCUGUCCAACGGCCCCGUGGAACUCGAGGGAGCCUGGAAGGAGGGGAGGCAGCUCCUGCGCCAGUACCUGGAGGAGCUCGGCUACAGCGACGCCAUCUUGCGCAUGCGCUCUCGCCGCCUCCGCGCGCUGCUGGGCCGCAGCCCUCAGGCGAUCCCCCCGGCAAUCCCCCCGGGAAUUCCCUCAGAAAUUUCGGGAAUUCCCUCGGAAAUUUCGAGAAUCCCCUCGGAAAUUGCGGGAAUCCCCUCAGGAAUCCCGCCGGGAAUCCCGGGAGCCCCUCGCAGCCCCGGGAGUCCGCCGUCCCCUCCUCCCGGCGCGGAGUCGCUGCUGCUGCGCAGGAUCGAGGAGCAGAUCCAGAGGAACGCCGGGAAGGAGCCGCAGGAGGGGCUCAGCCCCUCCCCCCCCGAGGAGGACAGCGACGAGGAGGAGGAGCCCGAGGGCCCCUCCCCCAGCCCGGCCCGCAGGAGGGGCAAGGGUGUCCCCAAGGUCCCCGAGGAGGAGGAGGAGGAGGAGGAGGAUGAAGAUGAGGAGGACUCCGAGGACGCCCUGGGCGAGUUCGACUUCCUGGGGACACCUGGGGACACCUUGGGGACACCUGGGGACAUCCGAGAGAGCCACCGGUGCCACCUGCGGGACGGGGACCUCGGGCCACCACGGCCACCGCGGCCACCUGAAGGGUCCCCGGGGGUCCCGGCCGAGGCGCUGGCCCUGGACGGCCUCGGGGACCUGGCGGAGCUGACGGUGACAAAUGACAAUGACGGCUGUGACGUGUCCUCGGGCCGGCCGCUGUCCCCGAAGCGCAGCUGGAGCCCGCGCCUGACGCUGCGCAGCCACUACGACGCCGUGCGGGCGCUGGCCUUUGUCCCUUGUCACCCGGCGCUGGUGACAGCCUCCGAGGACGCCACCCUCAAGCUCUGGAACCUGCAGAAGCCACUUGUCCCCAAGAAGAGCGCGGCGCUGGACGUGGAGCCGGUGUACGCCUUCCGCGGGCACAGAGGCCCCGUGCUGGCGGUGGCGGUGGCGGCAGGUGGCCCAGGUGACCCAGGUGACACCGGUGACACCGGGCUGUGCUGCAGUGCCGGGGUGGACGCUCGGAUCCGCUGCUGGCGCCUGCCCGGGCUGGACAGCGACCCCUACGAUGGCUACGACCCGCAGGUGCUGCGGGGGACCCUGGAUGGCCACGCCGACGCCGUCUGGGGCCUGGCCUUCGAUGUCACCGGGCGUCACCUGGCCUCGUGCUCGGCCGAUGGCACCGUGCGCCUCUGGGACCCCCGCGGGGACAGCGGGGACAGCGCGGGUGGCACCGGGGCGGGCACCUGCCUCAGCGUGCUGGACGGGCACACAGAUCACGGUGUCCCCACCUCGGUGACGUUCGUCCCCACCCAGCCGGCGCACCUGGUGGCCGGGUUCCGCUCAGGUGCCACCGUCCUCUACGACCUCGAGGCCACCAAGGCCACCCUGGUGUCCCCAAACGGCGGUGGCCGUGCCCAGGUGAACCAGGUGGUGGCUCACCCCUCGCAGCCGCUGACCAUCACGGCCAGCGACGACCGCGCCAUUCGUUACCUGGACAACCGCACAGGUAAGGUCGUGCACUCGAUGGUCGCUCACCUGGACGCCGUCACCUGCCUGGCCCUGGACCCCAGCGGAGCCUUCCUGCUGUCCGGCAGUCACGACUGCUCCCUGCGCCUGUGGCACCUGUCCCAGCACACCUGUGUGCAGGAGCUCCCCGCCCACCGCCGCAAGCACCACGAGGCCGUGCUGGCCGUGGCCUUCCACCCCCGGCGCGCCCUCAGCGCCAGCGCCGGCGCCGACGCCCUGGCCAAGGUGUUCGUCUGACACCUGGGCACAGCUGGACACACCUGGGCACUCACCUGGGCACAGCUGGACACACCUGGGCACACCUGGGGACAGCGGCAGAAUGGACAGGAGGUGGCGCCAUUUGUUCCUCCGUGUGUUGGUGGCACCUGUGGUGGCAUCUGUCACCUCCCCCAGACCAGGAUCACACCUGGGCACUCACCUGGUGGCACCAGGGCACACCUGGGGACAGCUCCAGGACAGGACAGGAGGUGUUUGUCACUUGUUUCUCGGUGUGUUGGUGGCACCUGUCACCUCCCCCAGAGCAGGGUGACACCUGGACACACCUGGGCACUCACCUGGUGGCACCUGGGCACACCUGGGCACACCUGGGGACAGCGCCAGAAUGGACAGCAGGUGGCGCCGUCUGUUCCUCUGUGUGUUGGUGGCACCUGUGGUGGCACCUGUCACCUCCCCUUGCCCACGGACCAGGUGUGACACACCUGAGGUGGCACCUGGGCACACCUGGGGACCUCAUCACGGACCAGGAACAGGACAGGAGGUGGCACCACAGGUGACGUCAUUCAUUUCUCUGUUGGUGGCACCUGGGACCAGGUGAGGUCACACCUGGGCACAGCACAGGAACGGGACAGGAGGUGGCACUGAGGUGACAUCGGUUAUCUCUGUGUGCAGGUGGCACCUGGUGGCACCAGGUGACCUCGGUCACCUCCCCCAGAGCAGGUGACAACACCUGAGGUGGCACCUGGACACCUGAGGUGGCACCUGAGGUGACACCUGGACAGGUGAGGUGGCACCUAGGGUGGCACCUGGACAGGUGAGGUGGCACCUAGACACGUGAGGUCGCACCUGGGGUGGCACCUGGACAGGAGAGGUGACACCUGAGGUGGCACCUGGACAGGAGAGGUGACACCUGAAGUGGCACCUGGACAGGUGAGGUCGCACCUGAGGUGGCACCUGGAGAUGUGAGGUGGCACCUGGACAGGUGAGGUGGCACCUGCCAUUGUCACCUGCACCUGGACACCUGAGGUGGCACUUGGACAGGUGAGGUGGCACCUGCCAUUGUCACCUGCACCUGGACACCUGAGGUGGCACUUGGACAGGUGAGGUGGCACCUGCCAUUGUCACCUGCACCUGGACACCUGAGGUGGCACCUGGACAGGUGAGAUGACACCUGAGGUGACACCUGGACAGGUGAUGUGGCCCCUGGGGUGGCACCUGCCAUUGUCACCUGUCCUUGCCCAGGGCUGAAGGGCUCUGUCCCCUCCCCCCCCCCCCGAUUUGGGGGAAUUUUCCCCUCCAGGUAAAUCCCAAAUUUUGGAAUUUCCCCCCCAAUUUUUAGGAUUUUUUUCACAUUUUCCUCCAUCAGCCAAAUCCCAAAUUUGGGGAAUUUUUCCCCCAUCAAAAUCCCAAAUUUUAAUUCAUUUCCCCCAAAAUUUUGGGAUUUUUUCCCAUCCAGUUUUUUCUAUUUCCCCCUCCAGAUAAAUCCCAAAUUUUGGGGAUUUUUUCCUUCUGGAUAAAUCCCAAAUUUUUGGGUUUUCCCCCCAAUUUUUUUCCCCUCCUGGAUAAUUCCCAAAUUUUUGGGAUUUUUUUUUUUCCCCCCCAAUUUUUAGGAUUUUCCUGCCCAAGUAAAUCCCAAUUUUUGGCUUUUUCCUCAUAAAUUUUGGAAUUUCCCCCCCAAUUUUUAGGAUUUUUUUCACAUUUUCCUCCAUCAGCCAAAUCCCAAAUUUGGGGAAUUUUCCCCCCAUCAAAAUCCCAAAUUUUAAUUCAUUUCCCCCAAAA